UGGCUAUCUCCCCUUCUCCACCUUCACCCUUCACGUGCCUUCGGCCCCCCAAGGUGAGAUUAGGCCCCGUCCAUCUGGCCUUCUCUUCUCUGGGACCUGUCAUGCUCUGUCUUACAGAGUGACCGCUGGUCUUCUCCCCACCGCAUCCCAGGUGCUCAGCACGACGAUUGGCACAUAGUGGAUCCUCAGCAAAUGUUACGUCGGGGAAGUCGCAUAACCUUUCAGACUGCUGUUGCUCAUGAGAGGGCUGAUGGGAAUCCACUUUCUAAGCUGAGAACUGCUUUGCUGCCUCUCGAGCCCACCCUGCCAUGCCUUUCCCUCCUCCACUCAUCCAGCCAGGGCCGUGUGCCCACCUACCACCCCCCGGAGUAUUCCAGGCCCUGGCAAAACGGGAGGAGCCAAAUGCAGAGACAAUAAGUGUGUAGAUAUAUAUUAUGUUCCCUGAGGACUACGACUAUGAAAAGAAGUCGAGCUGGGGUGGGGUGGGGGC
rnacentral:lncRNA from 1 species